UGAUAUGAGAAACUUUGAAAAACCUCUGUUUAACCUUUAUUUGCCCAGGCCCCAGGCGCCCUGGGGAGAAUGAUGGGGCUGUCUAGGAUAAGUAAACAACAGUGCAUUAGCUAGGACUGAGAUUAACACCCCCUGCUUCUGUGUCCUUGGAGCCCUGGAACUGAAUAAUAGGAGCCUUUGAACCCUGCCCCGUAAAUAGAACUAAUUAUCGCAUUCUGCUUCUGCCCCGUAGACACCUGUGUCCUUGAGCCCUGGCUCUGCCCCUAGACAGGACUAACUUCCGCAUUCCGCUUCUGUAUCCCGCCUUGCCACGUAGACAAGAAGACCCUAAUCUAUAAAAACCCCAGGAAUCCUUUGUUCAUUGCUCAGAAUUUGGAAAUGACUCCUCUGAGCCCAUGCAUGUAAAAUAAACCUCGUACUCCAAAAUCCCUCGGUGUUUGGUCGCUUCAUUUCCCACAACAUUUGGUUCCCUGACCGGGAAAGGCGACCUCACACUAAUUCAGGCGUUUGUCACCGUCUGGAAACGCCGGGAGGCGGCCGCAGGACCAACUGGGGAAAGCGGGGGUGCACGUGCCCUGAGAUUUCUUAGGCCCCGUCCAGUUGGGGCGGCGGCCGCUGACCCGCACGGCCAGGCGGGAAGUGAGAGAUUCUGGACUACGACUUGAUUAAAGGCCUUGAUUGGAGGCGCCGAACUUGAAUAUGACCUGACCAGAAUGACGGCGGUCCAGUAAUGCCAGCCUCUGGACACCAAGCCUGCGAUGUCCGGGUGACAGCCAACUGACCAGGACCCUGUGAGGUCUUUCCCCUUACAGGAAAGACUCCCUCCGUGCUGCCCCCCUUCAGGGCACCCCAACCCAGGGUAAAUAAGACAGCGUCCAUUUCCAGCUUGGAAGAAGUUACAAGAAGAUGAGACCUCCGUCCCUUUUCCUUUAUAUAAUUAUGAAGUAGGUAUAAAUCUAAAAGGAAGAAUAUUAAUACAGAGUGCAUCCACGGGGAGCCCCAGAAAAGAUUUAGAAUAAGAUCCAAGGUUCGGGGUAUCCAAGAGAUAUUGAGGUGUACUCACCACUCCCCGGGAGAGGGGGACGAAUAGAGCGGGGCCAGUGAGAGAUGUUGUACAUAACAACAGGUUACAGCUGACCUCUAAAGUAAUUAUUUGACAUAUAGCUUUUAGCUAGUUUCAUAGAUAUAUUAAAUAGUAUAGCCAGACUUAGAGCUAAGGAAAUAAAGUCACUUACCCAGGAUGUAGCUAAGAGCAGAGCCCCUAAGGGGGGGAGGCCUGUGUCAGAGCUUGGAAAAGAUCAACUCCAGGCCAUGAGGGGAUAAACUACCCAGGUGAAAGAGGGCACCGCAUAGUUUAAGGCAGAGUGCCGACCCCUGCAGCUUUGGUGAAAGAGGCCCAUGUGGCUUUGGGGUUCCCCCUUUGGCUGUGUAGCCUAGAAGGCAAGAAAGACUUUGACUAGAACUUAGUACAAAAAAGGACCUCUUGCCAGUGGACUGUGAGAGAGUGCCACAUAACUUUAGAUUGGCUAAAAGAUCCUGCCUGAUGCAGCUGAUAGUAACAGCAGCCUGAGACACAGAUGUGUGCUCUUUCCUGGUUUGCAGUGCCCGGAGUUAAAACGGUGCAAGUACGGAACAAAGACAUGAAAGUAUUUUGAGUUAAAAAAAGGGAAGAAAAACUUAGUUUCUGACUGCUCUUUUGCAAUAAUAGAACUAGAAUUAUAAGUAAUAACAAGAGAAAAGGAAAAAGAAACCUCAUUAAUACUCUAAAUUUAAUAAAAGGGGGGACUUGUUUAUUCUUACAAAAAUAUAUAUUAUGCUUAAACAAGCAACCAGUGUUGUUUAGCAUAAAAGGGGGGAAUGAUAUGAGAAACUUUGAAAAACCUCUGUUUAACCUUUAUUUGCCCAGGCCCCAGGCGCCCUGGGGAGAAUGAUGGGGCUGUCUAGGAUAAGUAAACAACAGUGCAUUAGCUAGGACUGAGAUUAACACCCCUGCUUCUGUGUCCUUGGAGCCCUGGAACUGAAUAAUAGGAGCCUUUGAACCCUGCCCCGUAAAUAGAACUAAUUAUCGCAUUCUGCUUCUGCCCCGUAGACACCUGUGUCCUUGAGCCCUGGCUCUGCCCCUAGACAGGACUAACUUCCGCAUUCCGCUUCUGUAUCCCGCCUUGCCACGUAGACAAGAAGACCCUAAUCUAUAAAAACCCCAGGAAUCCUUUGUUCAUUGCUCAGAAUUUGGAAAUGACUCCUCUGAGCCCAUGCAUGUAAAAUAAACCUCGUACUCCAAAAUC